rnacentral:rRNA from 1 species
UACGAAGGGGGCUAGCGUUGCUCGGAAUCACUGGGCGUAAAGGGUGCGUAGGCGGGUCUUUAAGUCAGGGGUGAAAUCCUGGAGCUCAACUCCAGAACUGCCUUUGAUACUGAGGAUCUUGAGUCCGGGAGAGGUGAGUGGAACUGCGAGUGUAGAGGCGAAAUUCGUAGAUAUUCGCAAGAACACCAGUGGCGAAGGCGGCUCACUGGCCCGGUACUGACGCUGAGGUGCGAAAGCGUGGGGAGCAAACAGGG